ACAGAAAGUGGAACACUAACCAAUAGUGGAAGACAGAUUGAUGCAGAGGUUUUGAUUAGAAUCAAAAAAAAACUUUCUAUAGCUCUAAUGUAAUUAAAAUAUUGCUUGCAGUAUUUUUUUUUAAACCGCAUACACAAUCAAAAAUUAACUCUACUUAUAUAUUGAUGGCCACCCUCACCCCCUUUUCAUAGCUGUCCAAGGAGUCUUAAGUCAAAAUGCAAGUAGGAAGGUCAAAAUCCUCUUCUGUAUUUAACAAUUUAGUCAUGCUUAUGCCAGCUCCUAAUCCAUUAACUGAUUAGAAUUUAAAUCUGAUUUAAAAUGUUUAA